GAUCCUGGCUCAGGACGAACGCUGGCGGCGUGCCUAACACAUGCAAGUCGAACGGAGUUUGAAGGGCUUGCCCUUCAAACUUAGUGGCGGACGGGUGAGUAACGCGUGAGUAACCUGCCUCUCAGAGGGGGAUAACGUUCUGAAAAGGACGCUAACACCGCAUGACAUUCCGGGGCCGCAUGGCCUUGGGAUCAAAGGAGCAAUCCGCUGAGAGAUGGACUCGCGUCCGAUUAGCUAGUUGGUGAG
rnacentral:rRNA from 1 species